rnacentral:rRNA from 1 species
CGUGUAGGCGGCCAGAAAAGUCCGCUGUGAAAAACUCGAGGCUCAACUUCGAGCUGUCGGUGGAAACUUUCUGGCUAGAGUCCGGAAGAGGAGAAUGGAAUUCCUGGUGUAGCGGUGAAAUGCGCAGAUAUCAGGAAGAACACCCGUGGCGAAGGCGGUUCUCUGGGACGGUACUGACGCUGAGACGCGAAAGCGUGGGGAGCGAACA